rnacentral:rRNA from 1 species
UCAGCUAGUUGGUGAGGUAAGAGCUCACCAAGGCGGAAGACGGGUAGCUGGUCUGAGAGGAUGAUCAGCCACACUGGAACUGAGACACGGUCCAGACUCCUACGGGAGGCAGCAGUGGGGAAUAUUGCGCAAUGGGCGAAAGCCUGACGCAGCCACGCCGCGUGAGCGAUGAAGGCCUUCGGGUCGUAAAGCUCUGUGGGGAGAGAAGAAUAAAGCCUGUGAAGAAUGGGCCUUGACGGUAUCUCCUUAGCAAGCACCGGCUAACUCCGUGCCAGCAGCCGCGGUAAUACGGAGGGUGCAAACGUUGCUCGGAAUCAUUGGGCGUAAAGCGCACGUAGGCGGCGAAGCAAGUCGGGUGUGAAAGCCCUGGGCUCAACCCAGGAAGUGCAUUCGAAACUAUUUCGCUUGAAUCUCGGAGGGGGUCAGAGAAUUCCCGGUGUAGAGGUGAAAUUCGUAGAUAUCGGGAGGAAUACCAGUGGCG